rnacentral:lncRNA from 1 species
GAGUGAGUGGGGAGCGGAGCACAGAGCCUAUGGGUUAACAGACGAACACAAUUUAGAGACAGAAAAAACUGGGUAUGUACGUUAGUCCCCUUAUCUGUGGUUUCGCUUUUCACAGUUUCGGUUACCCGUGGUCAACUGAGUCUGAAAAUAGCUGACUGGCACCCUUCUCUCUGGCUGGCAGCGGAUUAGCACACUGAAUCCCAUCCCUGAGAUGUCCUGGCACACAUCCUGGGCCCCUCUGUGAAGUGUUUGCCAUGGCCUCGAGCCCCUCAGGUUGAGUGCACUUGUCUGCAAAGGGCUGUGUUCUACAGCAACGUGGGACCCACGAAGGAAGCCUUAUGAUUCAUUUUUCAUCUCAUCAUUACUCGCCUUGCCUGUAUGCCAAGGCUGGGAAGCAAUGGGCCAGAGGUUUGUGCUCUGAGCAAUUCUGAAUCAUGUGGAGAAUAUGAAGGAAAAUGAGAAGUUUAAAAAUACUCCAUAGGAAAGAAAUGGUUCUUGCCACCUGGGCCUCAUCAUGGGACAACUUACCCCGUGGCAGCUGCUUUCCUUGAUGUGAGCCAGCAGGUCAGAGAAGGCAUCCAGAAGAGAAGCCACAGCCUUUCUGCAGCCCAACCUCAGAAGGGCCAUCCCAUCACUUGUACGCCUAAUGAAUGCUUUAUGGCUGAGAAAUGAUGGAGGAAGCGAGUGAGACUGAAGAGAUGAAGAAACUGAGGCACACAGAGAGAGACCCGGACGUGGCAUUCCCAGCAGUACUCAGAAAAGGAAGAAAGUACCGGAUUCCACACUGGGAUUGAUAUGUGUGGGACAAAGGUAGCUGGUUCAGAAAUUGGAGCUGAAAACCUUGAGAAGAGGUCCCUUGGAAGUGGCAGCAAUCUGGAGGAGAGCUUUGGGUUUCCAAAGGCCACAGAAUGGGUGGGAGGCACAAAGGCUUCUGCUCUAGAACUCCCUUCUUCUUACUCCUGAAAUGUUGGAUGAUGCUAUGGGAAACAGAUGAGUUUGUCCAGGGAACCAUGUGGAGUACGAACAGAGGGAAGGCAAGAAAGGAACUCGUCAAACGGAUCGAAGAUAAGAGAUGGAUGGGCCCGGGACAUCUUCCCCAGUGGCUCUUGUCCACGGGACACCUGGCUUGUACCCACAGAAAGUUGGCUUCCAGCCAUGCUUGAGUGAGAACAGUGAGGGCCCUUGCCUUCCUACAGUGAGUACUCGAUAAAUGAUCACUGCCAUUGUCACAUAAUAAUGUGGCUAUUAUGAUCAUGGACAGAGCAAAAAUAAGUGACUAUUUUUCAAGAGUCUAUUUGGUGUAGACUUCUCCAGAGGCAGAACUGUGGAAUAAAAUUAUUUCUAGUGGUCCCUCCCAGCCCCUUGGCUCCAUAAUUCUCCCACUUUAAUAUGUGACUAGUAAUUAAGAACUAUCUUGAAAUUUUGAUUUCUGGCCCAGAGUCUAUCAUUAUACUUCCAAAUUUUAUUGAGAAAAUAUUUGAAGCCAAAGAGAGAUUUUCAAUUUGUUGACUUUAAAAGAAGCAUUAUUCAUAUUCAUCCAACAAAUAUUC